rnacentral:rRNA from 1 species
CAACAUGACUCUCGGCAACGGAUAUCUCGGCUCUCGCAUCGAUGAAGAACGUAGCAAAAUGCGAUACCUGGUGUGAAUUGCAGAAUCCCGUGAACCAUCGAGUUUUUGAACGCAAGUUGCGCCCGAGGCCUUCUGGCUGAGGGCACGUCUGCCUGGGCGUCACG